UACGUAGGGGGCUAGCGUUAUCCGGAAUUACUGGGCGUAAAGGGUGCGUAGGUGGUUUCUUAAGUCAGAGGUGAAAGGCUACGGCUCAACCGUGGUAAGCCUUUGAAACUGGGGAACUUGAGUGCAGAAGAGGAGAGUGGAAUUCCUAGUGUAGCGGUGAAAUGCGUAGAUAUUAGGAGGAACACCAGUUGCGAAGGCGGCUCUCUGGACUGUAACUGACACUGAGGCACGAAAGCGUGGGGAGCAAACAGG
rnacentral:rRNA from 1 species